UACGUAGGGCGCAAGCGUUGUCCGGAAUUAUUGGGCGUAAAGAGCUCGUAGGCGGUUUGUCGCGUCUGCUGUGAAAACUCGAGGCUCAACCUCGGGCUUGCAGUGGGUACGGGCAGACUAGAGUGCGGUAGGGGAGACUGGAAUUCCUGGUGUAGCGGUGAAAUGCGCAGAUAUCAGGAGGAACACCGGUGGCGAAGGCGGGACUCUGGGCCGAUACUGACGCUGAGGAGCGAAAGUGUGGGGAGCGAACAGG
rnacentral:rRNA from 1 species